GACGAACGCUGGCGGCGUGCUUAACACAUGCAAGUCGAACGGAAAGGCCCUGCUUUUGUGGGGUGCUCGAGUGGCGAACGGGUGAGUAACACGUGAGUAACCUGCCCUUGACUUUGGGAUAACUUCAGGAAACUGGGGCUAAUACCGGAUAGGAGCUCCUGCUGCAUGGUGGGGGUUGGAAAGUUUCGGCGGUUGGGGAUGGACUCGCGGCUUAUCAGCUUGUUGGUGGGGUAGUGGCUUACCAAGGCUUUGACGGGUAGCCGGCCUGAGAGGGUGACCGGCCACAGUGGGUCUGAGAUACGGCCAAGACUCCAACGUGAGGCAGCAGAGGGGAAUAUUGCAGCAUGGGAGGAAGCCUGAUGCAGCAACGCCGCGUGCGGGAUGACGGCCCUCGGGGUGUAAAACGCUUUCGCCUGUGACGAAGCGUGAGUGACGGUAAUGGGUAAAGAAGCACCGGCUAACUACGUG
rnacentral:rRNA from 1 species